UACGUAGGGGGCAAGCGUUGUCCGGAUUUAUUGGGCGUAAAGAGCUCGUAGGUGGUUCAGUAAGUCGGGUGUGAAACCUCCAGGCUCAACCUGGAGACGCCACCCGAUACUGCUGUGACUAGAGUCCAGUAGGGGAGCAUGGAAUUCCUGGUGUAGCGGUGAAAUGCGCAGAUAUCAGGAGGAACACCAGUGGCGAAGGCGGUGCUCUGGGCUGGAACUGACACUGAGGAGCGAAAGCGUGGGGAGCGAACAGG
rnacentral:rRNA from 1 species